rnacentral:tRNA from 1 species
GCCGAUGUAGCUCAGGGGUAGAGCAACUGAUUCGUAAUCAGUAGGUCGUCGGUUCGAAUCCGACUCUCGGCUCCA